CACCGGGGGGACGGUCCGGCGCUCUGAGCGCGGGAGAGACGUUCCGGGGAGAGAAGUGGCCGGGGAGAGAAGGCCUCGAGGCGUCGCCCUGGGGCUCCUUCCCCAGGGCUGCCCCGGGCUGUGGGGAGCCAUGGGACGGGCUCUGAAGAGCUCUGGGACGGGCUGUGGAGAGGAGUGUUUCCAUGUUACAGAUGGAGAACACCACGGAGUGAAUUCACCCCUGUUUGGAUUUGCAAGUUAAUUGUGAUGCAACAAAGACGUUUCCACACAUUGUUAAAUUAAGCCCAAAUUAACAUUCCUGGGAGGAAUCCCUUCUGCACCUCUCUCUCUGGUGAUGUGUAAAACCACGGGGGAUUACGGAGCUGCAGCGAGGCACCGCCACUUGUUACUUGGUGACAGAAGUAAGUGGGACAUCUUGCAGUAAUAGAUUGAAAUCUUUUAAUGCUGCUUUGGCACGACCCAGAAGGCUCAGUGAGGGCAAGUCUUUUAUUAAUAGAACCUCUCCAAGUGCUCCUUUUCACCCACGGAGUAGCCGGCGGAGUCAAAGAUCCUCGUUUAAAGACCACCGACGUGGUUACAAUUUAGGCAAAAGCAGUAAAAGUGAUCUCAAAUCACAUGUUAAGAAUAUGAUUCAUCAAGAUCUGCCCAAAUUAAGGCAGGAGUGGCAGGUGCAGCUGCCAGCACAGUCACCAGAUCUCAGCUCUGUCAGGCCCACGUUACUCCCUAAAACAUCUGUGCUUGGGAGGAUUGUUUUUUGGCAAGUCCUUAACAGACAGAAAGGGAAAAUGUUGGGGUUUGCUUGGUUUGGAUCAUCUGUGGGGCAGCUUUUACCCUGUUACAGUGACUGCAUGGAGCUCUUAUGCUUUAAUGUAAGAUUAUUAACAAAAAUAUGUGUAUAGUUUGGCAGUUCAAGGCGAAUCCGAAUAGACAGAGUUUAGAUGACACAGAAGUUUUUAAAACCAAACUCCACUGAUAUUUCUGAAGGUGUCUUCAAGCAAUCUCUUGCAUGAGAAAUGUGGGGAGUGUGCCAUAUCUUGUUCCAACAUUGUAUUCACAAGGCUUUUCUAUUUUUUCAGUUGCUUUGACUAAAAUUGCAAGCUAUUAUUGGAAAAAAAUGACAUUUUUAUUAAGCCAUGUGUGAAAGUUCAGAGCACAUCUAAAGCUUGUUGAGGAGCAUAAGGAUUUCCAAAAAAAGGUGACCUGAUUUUGAAAUAAAACAUGGUGUCAGUGCAAAUCCAGAAGUUGGACUGUGUGAGGUACCUGCUCCUACUCCUAAAGCUGCCAGGACUGUGUCCUUCACGUGGCAAUUACACACUGAUUUUUUUUGACUCAGUUCUUGUAUCUGACUUGCUCCAAAAAUAGAUCCUUUCUGCAGAAAUCAGCAGACUGUAUCCAACUCUUUGUAGGGGUAAAUUUGAUUUGUGGGCCAUUUUUAUUUUCAGCCACUUUUGUCUGUUCCUCUUUUUGGCAAAGGCCUGCCUUGCUCUUGGCCCUGUAUGUUCUUAUGUAAAGCUUUCCCAAAGCCUUGGUGGGGUUUGUACUGCUGGGGUUUCUUUAAUGUAAUCUUCUGGUUAAAAGCUUUUUGUUCCUACAGCCUAUGGUUAUUAUUUUUAUAUAUAUCCCAUUCACAGCCUAGGGAAAAAAAAUAAUGGCAUCUAGAAGCUCACUGGAAGUGGAUUUUUGAAUAAUAAACCUUCUUUUCUCGUA